rnacentral:misc_RNA from 1 species
GCAACAGAGUGUUAUUUAUUCGGUGCACCAGUGCAGGCAAGUGUGCACACUGCUGCAUAUAAUUUCGCCAUUGCAAGCUGCAGAGACAUAUCUAAUAUACUCGCCGCCGUGGGAGGUAUAACAUUCGGGAACUAAAUUGUAAUUCAUACACACAGAAUUGGUGCAUCAGUGGGCUUCCUGUUACAAUGGCACUGAGGGGAAAAGUUGCUAUCAUUACAGGUUCCAGUUCAGGAAUUGGGGCAGGAAUUGCAGUAGUGUUUGCAAAAGAAGGAGCCAAACUGUCUUUGACUGGCAGGAACCAGAAGAAUUUGGAGGAAGUGGCUAAGAACUGCAAGACGAAAUGUUCUGACGAUGUUCUCAUAAACGUGGGUGACGUCACGGAUGCUGCUUUCAGAAAGACUCUCGUGGAGACAACCAAGAAGAAGUUCGGGAAAAUCGACAUACUGGUUAACAAUGCUGGGAUCGCAAUGCUGAGUCCGCUGAGAGCAGCGACCAAAGAGCAGUACGACAAAACAAUGGCUGUGAACGUGGAGGCACCUGUGUUUUUGACACAGUUGGUUUUACCGUAUUUGAUUGAAACUAAAGGGUGUGUGGUUAAUAUUUCGACUUGCGGAACGAGUACAAUUGUACCGAAUGGAGGUAUCUACAUCAUGACGAAGGCGGCCGUGGACACAUUCACAAGAUUCCUUGCCCAAGAAGUGGCUUCCCAGGGGGUACGCGUGAAUGCAGUCAAACCAGGCUACGUACCUUCUCCAAUACUGUCUGGGCAGUUAAAUAAAGAAGAAAGUGCCAUGAUGGACAAAACCAUGAUUAAAGCGACGCCAAUUGGUCGAGCGGCUACAGCAGAGGAAAUUGGACACAUUGUUGCCUUCUUGGCCUCGGAAAAAGCAGCCUUUAUAACAGGGGAAUGUAUCUUGGCCGAUGGUGGGAUGACAAUGACCACACCACCCAUCUCAGCAUAAGAAUCCGGAUUCAAUGACGUCUUUUUGCCUCCACUGUCUGCAGAUUGUGUACUACCAAAUACGCAAGGCCACUGGUCAAAUUGAAUCUCGGAUAUAACAGCUGAAGAGUGGUUUGAUAUCGGUCUAUGGGAUACGAAGUGGCGUCACAGACUUGUUGAGUGCUGCUUUUGCAGCAGCAUCGGCCAUUGUGUUCCCAGUGAUUCCAACAUGGCUGGGCAACCAACAGAAAACAAUGUCGCAUUGGCCAGAAGCAAGAUCAUUAAACAAUUCAAUAAUUUUUAAUUAUAAGUGGAUGCGUGGUUGACAUGUUUUUAAUAGCCUGGAUGCAAGAAAGAAAAUCAGAAAAAAUUAUGAAGUGUUUAUGUUUAGAAUGGCUGUUGAUGUAUUUAAGUGCUGUGAAAAUAGCAUUUGCUUCUGCUGUAAAAAUAGAACAGUUAUUUGGUAAGCGGGAUGAGAUAGUCCUGGAUCCAAGGACAGUGGCGCUAGCAACAGCGUCACCAUCUUUGGAUCCAUCUGUAAAUAUAGAUUUGUAAGCAUCAUAUGUGCUGCGUUAUUCAUGAUAUUGUUGUUGAUAAAUUAGUUGAUUUGUGUCAGAUUUCUUUAGUUUGGUUAAUGUUAGGUUCACCUCCGGCUUCACAAACUGCCAUGGUGGAGAAGAAAAAAGCUGAGUGGGGGCAAUGUUUUCAAGCUUUAUUUGCGCAGCAGAAAUAUGAGAUUUUAUUCUUAUUCAAAGAGGUGUAAGAAGAGAUGACUUUGUGUGGUAGAGAUUUUCGUGUAGAGGAUUAAAAAUACAAUCAUAAGUUGGGUUGGAUUUCAAAGAACGUAAUUUAGAUAUAUAUUGCAAAGACAAUUGAAUGCGACGUUGUUUAAGGGACGGCUCAUCAGCCGCCACAUACAGACGUUGUAUCGGCAAGGUUCGGAAGGUUCCAAGGCAAAGCCUCAGGCCUUGAUGGUGAAUAGGAUCUAGAAUUUUUAAAUUGCUUUUACAAGCUCCACCAUAAAUGAUGGAGCCAUAAUCUAGUUUGGAGCAGAUAAGUGCUCUGUAUAGUUGCAGGAGGGUUUUCUGAUCUCCUCCCCACUUAGAGUUUGAGACAACUUUAAGUAAGUCCAGGGCCUUCAGACAUACUGUCUGUCUGUCUGUCUGUCUGUCUGUCAUAUUCAUCAAAUAUAAACAUAUAAACUUUCGAUAAACUAUUAAUUUUAAUGCUAAAUAAUGUGACAGACAAGAUACUGCCUUCUGGGACACCCUGGUCCUGAUUAUUAUGAUCAGACAGGGACUUGAAAUUGUCCGUCUGUUAAAAAUUUGGAUAUAAACUGAGGCAAAGGGCCUCGCAAUCCAAAGUUUAUGUAAAUCCUUUAAAUUACCAUGUUUCCAUGUAGUGUCAUAUGCUUUUUCUAGAUCGAAAAAGAUUGAGACUGCAUGUUGUUUGUUUAUUAUUGCAUUUUUUACAAAGGAUUCUAAUCGUACUAAAUGAUCGAUAGUACUUCUGUUCUUACGGAAACCACACUGUAUAUUUGUAAUGACAUUAUUGGUUUCUUAGUACCAAACAAGUCGAUUAUUACAAUGCGUUCCAUGUUUUUGUAAACGCAGCUUGUCAUUGAGAUCGGUCGAUAAUUUGAUGGAUCUGUCUGAUCACGUCCUGGUUUAGGUAUUCGAACAACAAUGGCAUCACGCACAAACGGUGAAAAUCGUCCUGACGUCCAAAUGUCAUCAAAAAUAUUUAACAGUGAUUGUAAACAUGGUUCUGGUAAGUGGUUCAGGAGUUAAUAAUGUAUGUUAUCAGCUCCAGUAGCAGUAUCGUUAGCUUGUCCGAGGGCAGGUUGUAGUUCAUGUAAUAUUUCAUUGUAAUCUUCCCCAUUAUCUGAAUUAAAAUGAAUAGGUUUCUUUUCCUGCUGUUUUUGAUAUUUUUUUAAUUUGGGUACAUAAUUGGAUGAGGAAGAAUA